AGAUCUCUGUCAGUGUCGCCACCUCCAACGCGAUCCCACCACUGGCUACAUCUUCCCAUCUCCCCCCCAUUCGGCUUUCCGCAGAGACCGCUCCCUCCGUAACUCCCUGGUCAAUUCGUCCCUUCCCACCCAAACCACCCCCUCCCCUGGUAC